rnacentral:ncRNA from 12 species
AUUCUUUGAGGUGGUAAAUUUCGCGUCAACCACACGCCGCCGGUACAGACAGGGAAAUCUGAGAGAUGCAGGGGAACGGCACGCCUGCCAAAGAAU